CAGAAAGAGGGCCUCUCUCAGGCUCCUAGACAAACAUUGAAGCCAACUGGAAAAGUGAAGAGAAUCUCUGUGGUAAAGAACACCAGGAAGGGAGGGCAGGGACAAGGGGAAAAAAUGAGAACCAAGACCUCUCAUGUGAAGGUACAAGAUCCCAAUAAUGAAUGUAACUGUACUGUAUACCUAAAAUGUAUCAAUAAAUUCAAUGAGAGAGAGAGAGAGAGAGAGAGAGAAGAACACCAGACCACCAUAGUUGAGGAGAUUGUGCACCAGAGGCUUAAUUUCUUCUAUCAGCCUGGCUGCUGGCAACGACUUCCUGAAGGACACCUGCCAGACAAACCUCCUCUAGUGUUCACACUGCCUCCGCCAGCCAGUCUUCUGAGUAAGCCAGGUGUUCGUUUCCUCAAUUGUUAAUUUCCUUAGAUUUCUUUCCAGUGGAAUUUAAAGAAAAGUCAGAU
rnacentral:lncRNA from 1 species